rnacentral:misc_RNA from 1 species
UGUUAUUGUUUGAUAAUUACUAUUUAAUUUGUUUUGUAAUGGUGGAUUAAGCUCUGAUCCUUCUCCUACUUGAAGAAAGAGGCCUAGAAUGUGCUGAGAGCUGUGGGAUGUAUUGCAGUAUGUUUACGAAAAUAUAAAAUUUGUUUGUUAGCUGUUGUGAUCGACAUGCCUUCAAUAAUGUAACUUUUUUGUAUAACAACUUUUAAUUUGAAAAGACUACCGAGAGUUUUGUCCGGCUUUUUUUCCUCUCGGCCUACACUAGGAACAUUAGGUUAAAUAAUUUGUUGUAAUAUUUAUUUUAUAAAGCCAAUGACAUAAUAGAUAGGUGAUGUCUACCGAGACACUAGUGAUCAGGGCAAAAUAAUAAUUAUGUUUGUAAUGUUUAAUUGUAACAAUUACCUUCAUUUUUGUUUAAAAUGUAGAUUUUUUUUCGCUGGUUAAGUGUAUAAAUACCAAGAAGUUUUAAAUAUACAUUAUAUAUAUACAAAAAACCUUUUAUUUUAAAUAAAAUUUAUAAAAUUAAGAACCCUGUGCUCAAAAAGUAUCGAUAAUUUUAUCGA